rnacentral:rRNA from 1 species
GAUGAACGCUAGCUACAGGCUUAACACAUGCAAGUCGCGGGGCAGCAUGGGGGUUGCUUGCAAUCCCCGAUGGCGACCGGCGCACGGGUGAGUAACGCGUAUCCAACCUGCCCUUCACCACGGGAUAACCCGGCGAAAGUCGGACUAAUACCGUAUGCUGUCCAUUGACGGCAUCCGAUUUGGACGAAAGGUUUGGCGGUGAAGGAUGGGGAUGCGUCCGAUUAGCUGGACGGCGGGGUGACGGCCCACCGUGGCGACGAUCGGUAGGGGUUCUGAGAGGAAGGUCCCCCACACUGGAACUGAGACACGGUCCAGACUCCUACGGGAGGCAGCAGUGAGGAAUAUUGGUCAAUGGGCGUAAGCCUGAACCAGCCAAGUAGCGUGCAGGAUGACGGCCCUAUGGGUUGUAAACUGCUUUUAUGCGGGGAUAAAGUGGCCCACGUGUGGGUUUUUGCAGGUACCGCAUGAAUAAGGACCGGCUAAUUCCGUG